GAGACACUGGUGGCCAAUAGAGUACAGUCUGAAAUGCAUUGCGGCUGAAGAGGCAAAUGACUGUCUGGCUCUGAUAAUGGUGCCUGCCUUUCCUAUGCUGCCACACUGAAGGCAGCAGUUCCUUACAUUUCCCAUGCAGCCUGCACAAUUGCCCCACAAGGUAACAUGCACAGUCAGCAGGUUGACUGUGACGAAUGGAGUGACGAUCAGAGACCUGUUGUUUCUGGCUAUUCUGACAUCUAUUCCCUUCUCCCCUUUUAGCAACAUUUUUUUUAUCUUGGUUAACCCACCCCUUUUGGGUACUUCUCACAAUUUCUUUGUCAAGCUGUGUCAUUUGGAUCUUGUAUGUUCCAGAACAAUUUCUUACUGGGUGGGUAGUAUCAUUUUGAUAGAUGGCUACAUAUAUGCAGUGUUAGAUAUAUGUUAAAGUUAUGAUAAUAUCAUCUCAGAGUCACACAUGGAUCAAAUGAGUGGUAAAAUGGUAACAGUGCCCAGAGUGUGGGCUUUGGUGUCACUACCACGUGUCCAUGAUUGAAGUACCUGACAGAAACAGCCUGAGGGAGUAAAGAUUUAGUUUAGCUCACAGUUUCAUUGGGACUUCAAACACACCUCCCCAAGGCUGUCCAUAGCAUCUUAAAAUAGAGCCACAACCUGGGGGCUAAACACUCAAGACAUGAGCCUUUAAGGCACAUCCCAGGUCAGAAUCAGAAGGGCUAGUGAAGGGUGGUGAAGGUGUUGAGCAUAACCUUGGAAAUUCACAGGGUGUGGUCUGCCCACGUUCAUAAAUUUCAGGGAGGAUGGACCACAGCCCAUGUUAGCCUUUGUUAGUAUAGCUGCCUAGGAGUGCUGAAGUUAGCCUAGAGAACAGCACAGUUGGAGGUACAGACAGGUUUAUCCCAUUUUACCUGGGAUCUUACUGAUUUUGAAACUUGAAUCUGACAGCCUAGAAAUCCCUCAGUUCUCAGACCAGCACAUCUGGUCAUCCAGACUGGAAAGUGAGAGUGUGUCCUGAUGACAUUAUUAGAGUUCUCAGAUCCAGCCCUGUCUGUGAACUUUCACUGGUUUCAAAUGGGUCCUCAGGAACUAGUUUCUCUGGGAACAAAAACAUCUGGGUGCCCCCUCCUAGCCAGCUCUUGGGUUUUUUUUUUUUCUUUGAUCUUUGAGAUGAGCAGCUGAAUAUUUUUCACAUUCUCUUCCGGUUUCAUAAAAGUUAUGCAUCUGUAUCAAUCAGGCUAGCCUUCCAACCUCCCCUUCUUCAAAUUGGCCAUUAAAAGAAAAACAAAACCCACCAACAACACCCC
rnacentral:lncRNA from 1 species